GGGUCAGUAGGUUGGUCGUGCCACCGGUACGUACUGGUCUCACUGAUUCCUCCUUCCUGAAGAACCGUAAUGCCAUUAAUUUGGUGUUGCGGGGAAACAGGACUGUUGCUUUGAAAAAAUUAGAGUGUUUAAAGCAAGCUAACGCUUGAAUACAUUAGCAUGGAAUAAUGAAAUAGGACGAUCGAUCCUAUUUUGUUGGUUUCUAGGAUUGACGUAAUGAUUAAUAGGGAUAUUGGG
rnacentral:rRNA from 1 species